rnacentral:sRNA from 1 species
GCUGCGGCCCCCAGACCUGGGGCAGCGUGUCCAGCUGUGGGAGCACUUCCAGAGCCUGCUGUGGACCUACAGCCGCCUGCGGGAGCAGGAGCAGUGCUUCGCCGUGGAGGUGACUACUGGGCGUGGGAGUCCUCAGGACUUGAAGCUGUCAGCCACAGUGCCAGCUCCCUGCGCCCGGCCGACCUGCUCGCCCUCAUCCUCCUGGUUCAGGACCUCUACCCUAGCGAGAGCACAGCAGAGGACGACAUUCAGGAGACAGACAGCUUCUCCCUCCCUGAGGAGUACUUCACACCAGCUCCUUCCCCUGGCGAUCAGAGCUCAGGUAGCAUCAUCUGGCUGGAGGGGGGCACCCCACCCAUGGAUGCCCUUCAGAGCCCCAGCGCGCCCCUGGCCCUGGUCCUGUCCCAGCUGAUGGAUGGCUUCUCCAUGCUGGAGAUGAAGCUGAAGGAAGGGCCGGAGGCCGGGGCCUCCCUGCGCUCCCAGCCCUUUGUGGGAGACCUGCGCCAGAGGAUGGACAAGUUUGUCAAGAAUCGAGGGGCACAAGAGAUUCAGAGCACCUGGCUGGAGUUUAAGGCCAAGGCUUUCUCCAAAAGUGAGCCCGGAUCCUCCUGGGAGCUGCUCCAGGCAUGUGGGAAGCUGAAGCGGCAGCUCUGCGCCAUCUACCGGCUGAACUUUCUGACCACAGCCCCCAGCAGGGGAGGCCCACACCUGCCCCAGCACCUGCAGGACCAAGUGCAGAGGCUCAUGAGGGAGAAGCUGACGGACUGGAAGGACUUCGUGCUGGUGAAGAGCAGGAGGAAC